CUCUUCCUGGUCUAUGAUGCUUCUGUUCCACUAGAAGUGCCUGUCCCUGUUAGCGCUCCGCAAUUAUGUUUUCCUUAUCUCUCGCUCUCCUGCUCUGGAUGCCGUCGCGGAGAGAUAAAGCUGUCCACUUUCCAAAAUUCAAGAGGAGGAAUAAACUGAAACAUUCUGUUACCUGUUGACCAGGACAAUCUCCUAGGCAUUCGGGCUAAGAAGGACACUGAUUUCAGGUUUCUCACUUCCUGGGAAAGACCUUUCACUGCUAAGCAAUUUAAAAGGAAAGUUUGGACCCACCCUCUGGGGAAGACAUGCUGCCUUUGGGUGAGUGAUUCCAACUGCCAGUCGUGUAGAUGUGGUUCACCAAUUGAUUUUUUUCCCCCAAUCCGUGUGAUGAAGAUUUGUAUU
rnacentral:lncRNA from 1 species